rnacentral:rRNA from 1 species
CCGCGGUAAUACGGAGGAUGCGAGCGUUAUCCGGAUUUAUUGGGUUUAAAGGGUGCGUAGGCGGAUAGAUAAGUCAGUGGUGAAAUUCUGCAGCUUAACUGUAGACUUGCCGUUGAUACUGUCAGUCUUGAGUAUGGUCAAGGCAGGCGGAAUGUGUAAUGUAGCGGUGAAAUGCUUAGAUAUUACACAGAACACCGAUUGCGAAGGCAGCUUGCUGGGCCAUUACUGACGCUGAUGCACGAAAGCGUGGGGAUCGAACAGGAUUAGAUACCCUGGUAGUCCACGCCGUAAACGAUGAUCACUCGCUGUUGGCGAUACACAGUCAGCGGCUAAGCAAAAGCAUUAAGUGAUCCACCUGGGGAGUACGGCCGCAAGGCUGAAACUCAAAGGAAUUGACGGGGGCCCGCACAAGCGGAGGAACAUGUGGUUUAAUUCGAUGAUACGCGAGGAACCUUACCUGGGCUUAAAUGUAGAGUGCAUUGGUGAGAAAUCAUCAUUUUCUUCGGAACUCUCUGCAAGGUGCUGCAUGGUUGUCGUCAGCUCGUGCCGUGAGGUGUCGGGUUAAGUCCCAUAACGAGCGCAACCCUUAUCGUUAGUUGCCAGCGGGUAAUGCCGGGGACUCUAGCGAAACUGCCGGUGUAAACCGAGAGGAAGGUGGGGAUGACGUCAAAUCAGCACGGCCCUUAUGUCCAGGGCUACACACGUGUUACAAUGGCCGGUACAGAGGGCAGCUACCUGGAGACAGGAUGCGAAUCUCGAAAGCCGGUCUCAGUUCGGAUCGGAGUCUGCAACUCGACUCCGUGAAGCUGGAUUCGCUAGUAAUCGCGCAUCAGCCAUGGCGCGGUGAAUACGUUCCCGGGCCUUGUACACACCGCCCGU